AUUGAACGCUGGCGGGAUGCCUAACACAUGCAAGUCGAACGAGUGGCGGACGGGUGAGUAAUGUAUGGGAACGUGCCCGAUGGAGGGGGAUAACUACUGGAAACGGUAGCUAAUACCGCAUACCAUCAGAUGUGCCCAGAUGGGAUUAGCUUGUUGGUGGGGUAACGGCUCACCAAGGCAACGAUCCCUAGCUGGUCUGAGAGGAUGACCAGCCACACUGGAACUGAGACACGGUCCAGACUCCUACGGGAGGCAGCAGUGGGGAAUAUUGGACAAUGGGCGCAAGCCUGAUGCAGCCAUGCCGCGUGUAUGAAGAAGGCCUUCGGGUUGUAAAGUACUUUCAGCGGGGAAGCGUUACCCGCAGAAGAAGCACCGGCUAACUCCGUGCCAGCAGCCGCGGUAAUAC
rnacentral:rRNA from 1 species